CCCUGCGAGAGAAGUCUCAUAAUCAAAGGAUGCAUCAACUUUAAUUUUCAAUGUACCCAAAGAAGGAGGAUUCCAUUGUGAAGACACAGGAUUGGAUACUACCACAAUUUGUUGCUGAGAAGAUUGGGUAUGGAAUUCACCUGCAUCAUGCUUAGCGUGCUAAAUAAAAUAUAUUAGAUCAACAAAAAAACCAUUAAAUACAAAAGCAUUUUGUGCUUUCCAUAUAUACCAACUGAGAUAACUUGCUAGCGACUCUGUAACCCUAUCCAGAGAUGAAUCCAUAUU
rnacentral:misc_RNA from 1 species